rnacentral:rRNA from 1 species
CCUUCUCAAACAGCGAUGUUUGGUUGUGAGUGAUACUCGGAAGAGUUAGCUUGAAAAUGCUGGCCGGUGGCUGCAGUGGCCAGGGCUUCUUUUUUCCUGCAUCCUGCCUCGGCGGGGUGGGCUCUGCCGGACGUCUUCGUAGUAGGUUCUGCCAAUUCGGGGACAGCUGGCGGGAGCUGCAAGGGGGGAGGCCUGUGUUUUGGCUGCAGACAGAGACAGCCGUGGCGAACAGUGUUCUUUUAAGU